rnacentral:rRNA from 1 species
ACUUCGGUCCGCGAGUAGAGUGGCAAACGGGUGAGUAUCACGUGGGUGACCUACCUUCGAGUGGGGGAUAACCUUCCGAAAGGAAGGCUAAUACCGCAUAACAUCCUGCUCUUGGACGAGCAGUGAUCAAAGCCGGGGAUCGCAAGACCUGGUGCUUGUUGAGGGGCCCGCGCCCGAUUAGCUUGUUGGUGAGGUAAUGGCUCACCAAGGCUUCGAUCGGUAGCCGGCCUGAGAGGGCGGACGGCCACUCUGGGACUGAGACGCGGCCCAGACUCCUACGGGAGGCAGCAGUGGGGAAUUGUUCGCAAUGGGCGAAAGCCUGACGACGCAACGCCGCGUGGAGGACGAAUAUUUUCGGAUCGUAAACUCCUGUCGAGCGGGAAGAACAGCACGCCGGUUAAUACCCGGUAUGCCUGACGGUACCGCUAAAGGAAGCCCCGGCUAACUCCGUGCCAGCAGCCGCGGUAAUACGGGGGGGGCAAGCGUUGUUCGGAUUUA